GGGUGUAAAGGGUGCGUAGGAGGGCAGGUAAGUCAGUGGUGAAAUCUUCGAGCUUAACUCGGAAACUGCCGUUGAUACUAUCUGUCUUGAAUAUUGUGGAGGUGAGCGGAAUAUGUCAUGUAGCGGUGAAAUGCUUAGAUAUGACAUAGAACACCAAUUGCGAAGGCAGCUCGCUACACAUAUAUUGACUCUGAGGCACGAAAGCGUGGGGAUCAAACAGGAUUAGAUACCCUGGUAGUCCACGCCCUAAACGAUGGAUACUCGACAUACGCGAUACACUGUGUGUGUCUGAGCGAAAGCAUUAAGUAUCCCACCUGGGAAGUACGACCGCAAGGUUGAAACU
rnacentral:rRNA from 1 species